rnacentral:rRNA from 1 species
UACGUAGGGGGCAAGCGUUGUUCGGAAUUACUGGGCGUAAAGGGCGCGUAGGCGGCACGACAAGUCGGGAGUGAAAGCCCGGGGCUCAACCCCGGAACGUCUCUCGAAACUGUCGAGCUAGAGUGCAGAAGAGGCAACUGGAAUUCCCAGUGUAGCGGUGAAAUGCGUAGAUAUUGGGAAGAACACCUGAGGCGAAGGCGGGUUGCUGGGCUGACACUGACGCUGAGGCGCGAAAGCGUGGGGAGCAAACGGG